rnacentral:rRNA from 1 species
UACGAAGGGGGGCUAGCGUUGCUCGGAAUCACUGGGCGUAAAGCGCACGUAGGCGGCUUUUUAAGUCAGGGGUGAAAUCCUGGAGCUCAACUCCAGAACUGCCUUUGAUACUGGGAAGCUCGAGUCCGGGAGAGGUGAGUGGAACUCCGAGUGUAGAGGUGAAAUUCGUAGAUAUUCGGAAGAACACCAGUGGCGAAGGCGGCUACCUGGCCCACUCUUGACGCUGAGGCGCGAAAGCUAGGGGAGCAAACGGGG